CUCCCGAGGCCUCACCAAAAUGGCCGCCGCCUUCUCGGCCGCCACCGCCACUACCACCACCACCACCACCAAGGCUCGUUAUCGCUACCGCCGGAGCGGCCCGUCCUCUCGCGAUACACAGUAACUGGAGGCUGGAGGGGCGGACAAGGUCUCACCAUUUAGCAGUGGUUGACCUGGAUUCGCUAUUGUAGAUCCAGCUAACCUUAAACUCAAGAGCAAGAGAUGCUCCUGCCUCAGCCUAGGACCAACGGUUUCCCACAUUAAGAACCCCUUUGAAAGGCUGAGAAGAUAGCUCAGGAACUAAGAAUAUUGGCUGCUGCUUCUUACAGAGGACCAAGGUUCAAUUUCCAGCACUCAUAUUCCAGAAGUUCAUAAACAUCUGUAACUCCAGUUCCAGGGAAUCAGACACCCUCUUCUGGCCUCAGAGAGCACUGCACAAACAUGGUGCACAGACAUACAUGCAGGUAAAACGCCCGUACACAUCAAAUAAAAAUCCUUAAAAAAAAAAAAAUGCCUUUGAGAAUCUGAUACUCCUUCUCCAUCUUAAGGACCUGUUUAUUGUCAACAAGAGUUCCAAGAAAGAUCUUGAGCCCUUGAUUACAUAGGAAGACCCUGCCCCAAAACAUAACUAAUAAUUAAGAAAGCUUGUGGGAUAAAAAUAAAAAUAAAUCGAAGACGGACUUCGGAGAAGCCAUUGUGGACAGUGGGGAAAUGACAGUUGAAUAGAGACUGGAAGAAAGAUUCUUCACAGCUAGGUGUGGUGGUAUAUACCUAUAAUCCAGGCACUUACUGGUAGAGGCUACCCUGGGCUGUUGCAUACUUGGUACACACACACACACACACACACACACGUUAAUAUUCUAAAGUUCAAGAUUAUCCUGUCUUAAAAGACAUGUAUAUAGUCUUGUAGUAAGUAUGUGUCUGCUUUUUUUCAAUUUAGGACUUUGUAAAAAGUUCAGUGUGUGUGUGUGUGUGUGUGUGUGUGUGUGUGUGUGUGUGUGUGUGUGUGUUAGUUAGUUAGUUAGUUAGUUUGUGUGUUACAUAAUUAGAACACAGGGCUGGAGAGAUGGUUCAGUGGUUAAGACUGGCUGUUCUUCCAGAGGACCAGGGUUUGAUUCCUAUCACCCAAAUGGAAGCUCCUAACAGUAUCGUAUCGUAACUUUAGUCUUAGAUCUAACACCUUCUUCUGAUGCACAGACAUAACGUUCAGGAAAAUACUCAUAAAAUAAAAUAAAAUCUCAAAAUUAAAGUCUAAUAUGAAUUAUCAGCAAAAACCUUCCCCACAUUGUGUCAGUGUCAGUUUGAGUCCCUUAUAUUUAAAUGACACCAUACUGUAUAUUGUUUUAUACUUUGCCUUUUCAGACUUGAUAUAUAUAAUAUCUGGAAAUAUAUUAAUAGAUAAUGGGGCUAGGUGUGGCAUUCACCUUUAAUCCCAACACUCAAGAGGCACUGGCAGGGCAAAUCUCUGAAUACAAAGCCAACCUUGUUUACAUAGCAAGACCCACACACACACACAAAAGAAAGAAAGAGGAGAUAAUGUAGGUAAUAGAAAAGAGAUGGUUCAGUUAACUACUGAACUACUCUUAACUAGAGCACUGGCUCAGGCUAGAGGACCUGAACUCGGUUCCUAGGACCAAGAGAGCUUGCAAACAUUUUUAACCUCUUCUGGCCCUGUCACUAAAAGCACAAGGUGUAUACACACACACACACAAAUCCACAAAUUACACAUACACAUUUUAAAAAUCUUUUAAUAAUUUUUUAAAAUUCUGGGUGUGGUGAUAACGUUAAUCCCAAACAUUCAAGAGGCAGAAGCAGGGAAAUAUAGAUAUCAAGGCCAGUCUGGUCCACAUAGUGAGUUCUUUGUUUUAAAAAGACCACACACCUGCCUUCAAACUUCAAAACUUCAAAUAACUUCAAAAAAGAGGCUGGAAAUAUUGCUCAGUACUCAAGAGCACUUGUUCUUACAGAGGGCCUGGGUUCAAUUCCAUGCAUCCACAUGAUGACUAAUGCCAUUCAUAAUUCCAGUUCUUGGGGAUCCAAAGCCCUUUUCUGACUUCCUCUGGCACCAAGAAUGCACAUGGUGCACAUACAUACAUGCAGGCAAAACA